GGCGGCAGGCCUCAAGCAUGCAAGUCUAGGGGGUAGCAAUACCACCGGCGGACGGGUGCGUAACACGUGGGAAUGUACCUACUGGUUCGGAACAACUCAGGGAAACUUGAGCUAAUACCGGAUAAGCCCUUACGGGGAAAGAUUUAUCGCCAGUAGAUCAGCCCGCGUCCGAUUAGCUAGUUGGUGGGGUAAAGGCUCACCAAGGCGACGAUCGGUAGCUGUUCUGAGAGGAAGAUCAGCCACACUGGGACUGAGACACGGCCCAGACUCCUACGGGAGGCAGCAGUUGGGAAUCUUGGACAAUGGGGGAAACCCUGAUCCAGCCAUGCCGCGUGAGUGAUGAAGGCCUUAGGGUUGUAAAACUCUUUCGGCGGGGACGAUAAUGACGGUACCCGCAGAAGAAGCUCCGGCUAACUUCCGUGCCAGCA
rnacentral:rRNA from 1 species